rnacentral:misc_RNA from 1 species
AAAAUUUCGCACCAAGAAGAAAUGAAAAACUAAGUGACACGAAUUUCCAAGCUCAUUCAAGAAAUAUUUGCAUUCUUCAGCGAUCUGCACCCCACCACACCUGCAGAAGUCCGCAUUAAAUGCUCCCCAAGCAUAGCCAGACAAGAAUAAUCUGUCUUGAGAUGAGGCUGCACUGAUUCCCAAAUCUUUUUCUUUUGAAUCUGGUUAGGAGUGGCAGGAUCAGGUUGAUUUUGUUGGUCGUCUUCAGCGCCAAACCAAAUCCUUUCCCCCGGAAUAGAACCUUCAGGAGGCUCAAGGAGCUCAAUAUUCUCAUGAGAAGCAUCGGAAGCAGCCAUGAGCAUUCCACUCGAUUUGACCCCACGCAUGUUCCUAGGCUUAAGGUUAGCAAGCACCACCACUUUCCUAUCCUGGAGAUGGUGGAGAGGGAUGUACUUAACAAGCCCACUACAAAUGAUACGAGGUUCAUCCUCCCCCACAUCCACCUCCUCCACAUAAAGGGUAUCUGCCUCCUCGUGCCUCCACGCUUUGA